CUCAAAAUCUUCAACAAUCAGACGCUUGCAAGAGUCAGGAUCUGUGCACUUAUGAUUCACUGCUUGAGGUUGAUUAUCUGGUUGUCGGGACGACGUACCACCAUUGGAUAUGGGGGAGAAACGGGUCCAUUUAUUUUCAAAAGGCUUGAAUUGUUGCUGCUUAUUUGCAAAAUCAUUGGGGGAUUUUGAUUGAACGCCAAAUCCAAAUGGAUUAGAAAAACGAUUCUGCUGCUGCUGCUGCUGUGAGCCAAAUCCAAAGGCAUUAUUAUUAGGUUUUUGCUGUUGUUGUGGAGUGACAUGAAGAAAUUUGCACCUUUCACCGUAUUGACAACUUCCACGCUGAAAGUUUCUGCAGAGUUCCUUCUUGAUAGGCAUCUUUAGCGCUAACAAUCUCACUUCUACUCUUUCUAUG
rnacentral:misc_RNA from 1 species